UAACAGAAUACUUUAAACAAUACCUGUAUUUUGCGCACUUAUUCGAUCAAUUUCCUAGAAAUUGGGUAUUUACAACUACAGCUAACCGCUCCGUAGCGACAAAACGCAUCAAGAAUUGUUGAAUUGACGGUAUCACAGAUGACUGAGGACCCAAGCGAUUGAUUAUGGAUCAUAAAGAAAAGAGUAAGAAUACAGAUACAUCAAACUUUCAUAAAUUAGUUUGGAAGGAAUCCGAAGGAGGCAAACAUACCCAUGCCAUUGUAGAUCGAAAGAGGAUGCCAUUUCCAGCCUCAGAGUCCUCUGGCAAGGGACACAAAAGUAACAGCGAGGAUACUUCACACACUCAAAAGACCAAAAAUAACUCUGUUCAGUUAUUUGAAUGUUGAACUUGACAGACUCAGAAGACCAGAAAUGACUUUGUCUUAUGUUAAUCCUCGCUGUGGUUAGGUCGACUUUCUCUUUCGUUUUCGUCUUGUUUGUUGUUUUGAGCUGUCACAAAUUAGAAACUUCAGGAACUUCCUUUCAGUUAGACAAGGGCAUGCGAUUACCGCUGACAAAACACUUUGGCCUGGAGGCUUGACAAAUCUAUGAUACACUUGAUUCAUUGUAAAUUACUACUACUGCACAAACAAAUGUAAACUCGUAUAUUUUAAAGGCAGCUGUCUCAACCUUUGUAAAUCCUUGUUACGAUAUUGCCAAUUGUAAAUAUCGGUUAGUUGACUUGAUAUGUCCUUCCUCUAGUCUACAGAUUUGGUAAGAUCUUGACCACCCGUGUCAGAAAGUUGUAAUAAAAAAUAAAAAUACCAACUAUAUGUUGGC